GCUUCGAAUAUCAGCAACGUCAAUACAAUUAAUUAAAACAUGCAAGUAUGCUAUUAAACAUGUUUUACAAUUAAUUAAAACAUGUUUAAUAGCCUACUUGCAGUUACAAGGUAUACAUUGUGGUUCUACUUCCUUUUUUAAAAGAUAUUCGUGUGUUAUUUUAGUACGACAUCUAGAAAUAACACACCGAUCUUUUCUGCACAUACAAUUAUUGAAAGGUUGACUUAAAUUAGGUUUAAUUUCAUGUAAUUAGGUUUUUCCACUUUUCCGUGGAAAGACCUAUGGCUAUUCAUCUGAUAAUUAUUGGGUUUUUUUCUUCCGCCUAUUUUUUUUCCUUCGCUGUUUUCUUGUUUGCAAGAUGUCGCUUAGAUAUUUCGAAUAUGAUAUCGAACAGUACAUACGCUUUUAAAACUGACACCGCUUAACCCAAUACUUUCCCAUUUAGAGCUAUCUCCCCGAACACUAUUUUUCUCGUUAUCUCUAAGGUUUCUCAACCGUACAAGAAACCGACAAAUUUGUUUUACCAAAUUGCUCGUUCUAUCCUCAGGAUGAUCUCUUUUAUUAUGACCGAAGCUGUAUAGAGAUUCCAUAUGGAAGUUUUUCCCCUUUUGUAUUUGAUAGAAGUGAAAUGUACUUUCAACUGGAAAACCAUAAGUGAAAGAGGCCUAGGGUCUUUGAUUGAGGCCUUGUCCAAAAAUGAUAAUGCAGGUCAGUUCAAAAUUUUGAUUUUAGCUUAUCUCUUAUUUUCAGAAAUCAUAUAAGAUAUCGACAAAAAGAC
rnacentral:lncRNA from 1 species